rnacentral:rRNA from 1 species
GACGAACGCUGGCGGCGUGCUUAACACAUGCAAGUCGAACGAAGUGGCGAACGGGUGAGUAACGCGUAAUCAACCUGCCCUUCAGAGGGGGACAACAGUUGGAAACGACUGCUAAUACCGCAUACUGAAGGAGGGGUAUGCGUCUGGUUAGCUAGUUGGGGGGGUAAUGGACAACCAAGGCGAUGAUCAGUAACCUGUCUGGUGCGAGUGACCGCCACAUUGGGACUGAGACACGGCCCAGACUCCCUCGGGAGGCAGCAAGGGGGAAUCUUCCGCAAUGGACGAAAGUCUGACGGAGCAACGCCGCGUGAGUGAUGACGGCCUUCGGGUUGUAAAGCUCUGUUAAUCGGGACGCGGUACCGGAAUAGAAAGCCACGGCUAACUACGUGCCAGCAGCCGCGGUAAUAC